UUGUGUACGUUUAUUUGUAGGCACCAUACUGGGCAUACCUUCUGUAUGCACUGGGACUCUUCAUCUACCAGUCACUGGAUGCUAUUGAUGGGAAACAAGCCAGAAGAACAAAUUCUUGUUCUCCUUUAGGGGAACUUUUUGACCAUGGUUGUGACUCUCUCUCCACGGUAUUUAUGGCAGUUGGAGCUUCAAUUGCUGUUCGCUUAGGAACUCAUCCCGACUGGUUGUUUUUCUGCUCUUUUAUUGGGAUGUUCAUAUUUUAUUGUGCUCAUUGGCAGACUUAUGUUUCAGGCGUGUUGAGAUUUGGAAAAGUGGAUGUAACUGAAAUUCAGGUAACUGUAUUGAUUAUCUUUGUGUUGUCGACAUUUGGAGGAGCAACAAUAUGGGACUAUACGAUACCCAUCCUAGAAAUAAAGUUGAAGAUCUUACCGGUUCUUGGAGUAUUAGGUGGAACAAUAUUUUCCUGUUCAAAUUAUUUCCAUGUUAUCCUCCAUGGUGGUGUUGGCAAGAAUGGAUCCACUAUAGCAGGCACCAGUGUCUUGUCACCUGGACUCCACAUAGGAAUAAUUAUUAUACUGGCAAUAAUGAUCUAUAAAAAGUCAGCAACUAAUUUGUUUGAAAAGCAUCCUUGUCUUUAUACCCUAAUGUUUGGAUGUGUCUUUGCCAAAGUCGCACAAAAAUUAGUGAUAGCUCACAUGACCAAAAGUGAACUGUAUCUUCAAGACACUGUCUUUUUUGGCCCAGGUCUUUUAUUUUUAGACCAGUACUUUAAUAAUUUUGUAGACGAAUAUAUUGUUCUAUGGAUAGCAAUGGUCAUUUCUUCAUUUGAUAUGAUGAGGUACUUUAGUGCUUUGUGCCUGCAGAUUUCAAGACACCUUCAUUUAAAUAUCUUCAAGACUUCAUCUCAUCAAGCACCUGAACAGGUUCACGAGCAUAUUGACUAAUUGCCCAAGGAAAAGAGGAGAAGCAGUUAGGGGAACCUAUGAGUGAAGGAAAUUCCCCCUUUGCAGGAGGUUCAAGUUCUUCCUUCAAAGAGUCAUCAGAAUAACAUGGAUUGAAGAGACUUUCGAACGCUUGCCAUCUCUUGCUGCUGCUGUUACAUGAAAGGAGAUGUUAAACAUUUAAUUUUUAGAUAAGUGUUAUACAUAUUUCAGCAAAUAAAAUAUUUCAGUGCUUA